rnacentral:lncRNA from 1 species
GGGAUUGAAAAACUUCAUGUAAGUAAUAAUAUACAAUAAUAUGCAAAAAGUGAAAUAAGCUAAAUAUAUGCGGAUAUUUAAAAGAAGUAAAGUAUCUAUAUAGCAAUAUGUAUAAAAAAUAUAUAUAUUUAAAAUUAAAUAAUAUAUAUUACGUAUGUACAUAUAUGUAUAAUAAAAACAAUUUAAAAAUAAUAGUAAAUAAUAAAGUAAUAUAUAUGUAUAUAUAUAAAUAGGUAAAUAGGAAUAUAAUCAAAUAUAAUAAUAUCAAUAACAAUAAUAAAUAGUAAUAAAAAAAUUUAAUUAAUAGCGAAAAUAUCAAUCAGGACUAAAUUGGAAUGAAAACAGAAAUUCUGGGGGAAAUCUGCAAUAAAUAAAAAUGAAAAGGGGCCGAAUCGAGUGCGCGAAUAACAUGAGGGACCAAAAAGGGAAUAAUCCCAAUCCUCCCAAAACGCAGCGUUACAUAGGGACCGAAAUGAAAUUUGCAGGAAAUUAUACAACCCAAUUUAAAGAAGAAACAUAAACUAGAUUGAAAUCCAACACAAAAAAGGGAGGACUUGGAGCGAAAUAGACCAUCAAGGCUAGAUGCGCGGAUCCUUCCCCGGGUCGGGUCACCGCGCGGGUUAGUGCCGAUGUGGCACUGUUUUAUAACCAUUGAAACAAGGUUAAACGGCACCGUUUUAAUAAUUUGUAUAAAACUAAAAAAUAAACCCUAAACACGCCCUUAGCUGCUAAAUCAGACCAACAAAACCCUUAGCCGCUCGGUUAUGCAGAAACCUGACCACUCUCCAGCCCUCUGACCUUCGCCGGACUCUGAUUGCGGCGGAGCAAGCGAAGAUCCAACCACCAGGUAAGCCUUCCUCGUCCUUAACUCUUCCUUUUUCUUUUUUAUGCACGAUUAAUAAUAAAAAAAUAGAAAAGAAAAAAAGAAACGCAAAGAGAAAAAGAACUAAAAAAGAACACCUUCUUUCAGAAAUUUUUUGAUUUAUUUCUAUUGAUUCCUCUUCGGUGUUUUUUUACACCCGUUUUUUUGUAUUUCACUUCAUAUUCAAUCUCUGUGUAUUUUUUCUUGCAAAUCCGUGUUUGGCUUUUAUAUAGCCCAAAAGAAAAGUAAAAAUCCCUAUCUUCCUAUUUUUGCUUUUCUUUUUUAUCUCCUGUUACAAUUUUUUCACUGUAAGUAUGUUAUUACUUUUGUUGUUAGUCCGUUUCUUCUUUUUUUGCUGCUUUGGUUUGUCGUUUGUUGCAGGUUCGGCCAGCUGGAGGAGCAAGUGGGACGUGUACGGGGCUGCUGUGCGUGGGUGAGGUUGCUGCGGCGCGUGCAGAGGAGAGCCAAGGAGGCGCUAGAGGCUGUGCGACGCGAUAGGCUAGCUAGGGUUUUCAUUUUUUAUUUUUUCUGUUGGGUCAUACAGUAAUUGGGCUUGGUUUAUAUGGGCUGGGCAAAUUCGGGCUGAUGUAAUUGGACUUUUAUUAUUGGUUUUUGGUUUUAAUUUUUAUUUAUGAGGGCGGGGGCCAAAAUUGGGCCUUACAGUAUCCAUAUUGAUUAUUUUUAUACUAUUUUAAAAAAAAAACCAUUAAUUUUACCUUUUAAUUUACACAAGUGCUAACAUUUUGUAUAGACAUUUUAAAAUUUUCCUCUGUCCAAUCACACUAUAAAUUUGUUUGAAA